rnacentral:sRNA from 1 species
UAACUCUCCGUAUAAUCCUAAAAUAAACCGCACUCAUUAACGGGUUAAAAGGUAUUUUCGGAUAAAACUCAUAACGGGAAUUUGAGUUAAAUAACAGACGUCAGGAAUUGUCUGAUAAAAAAAUGCCGGCAUAUCGCCGGCACGUUUUU